UACGAAGGAUGCAAGCGUUAUCCGGAUUCAUUGGGUUUAAAGGGAGCGUAGGCGGCCUUGUAAGUCAGUGGUGAAAUCUCUCGGCUUAACCGAGAAAUUGCCAUUGAUACUGCAGGGCUUGAGUACAGUUGCCGUUGGCGGAAUAUGACAUGUAGUGGUGAAAUACAUAGAGAUGUCAUAGAACACCGAUUGCGAAGGCAGCUAACGAAACUGUAACUGACGCUGAGGCUCGAAAGUGCGGGGAUCAAACAGG
rnacentral:rRNA from 1 species